rnacentral:rRNA from 2 species
AAGAGUUUGAUCAUGGCUCAGGAUGAACGCCGGCGGUGUGCCUAAUACAUGCAAGUCGAACGCGUUGGCCCAAUUGAUUGACGGUGCUUGCACCUGAUUGAUUUUGGUCGCCAACGAGUGGCGGACGGGUGAGUAACACGUAGGUAACCUGCCCAGAAGCGGGGGAGAACAUUUGGAAACAGAUGCUAAUACCGCAUAACCGCGUUGUUCGCAUGAACAACGCUUAAAAGAUGGCUUCUCGCUAUCACUUCUGGAUGGACCUGCGGUGCAUUAGCUUGUUGGUGGGGUAACGGCCUACCAAGGCGAUGAUGCAUAGCCGAGUUGAGAGACUGAUCGGCCACAAUGGGACUGAGACACGGCCCAUACUCCUACGGGAGGCAGCAGUAGGGAAUCUUCCACAAUGGGCGCAAGCCUGAUGGAGCAACACCGCGUGAGUGAAGAAGGGUUUCGGCUCGUAAAGCUCUGUUGUUAAAGAAGAACACGUAUGAGAGUAACUGUUCAUACGUUGACGGUAUUUAACCAGAAAGUCACGGCUAACUACGUGCCAGCAGCCGCGGUAAUACGUAGGUGGCAAGCGUUAUCCGGAUUUAUUGGGCGUAAAGAGAGUGCAGGCGGUUUUCUAAGUCUGAUGUGAAAGCCUUCGGCUUAACCGGAGAAGUGCAUCGGAAACUGGAUAACUUGAGUGCAGAAGAGGGUAGUGGAACUCCAUGUGUAGCGGUGGAAUGCGUAGAUAUAUGGAAGAACACCAGUGGCGAAGGCGGCUACCUGGUCUGCAACUGACGCUGAGACUCGAAAGCAUGGGUAGCGAACAGGAUUAGAUACCCUGGUAGUCCAUGCCGUAAACGAUGAGUGCUAGGUGUUGGAGGGUUUCCGCCCUUCAGUGCCGGAGCUAACGCAUUAAGCACUCCGCCUGGGGAGUACGACCGCAAGGUUGAAACUCAAAGGAAUUGACGGGGGCCCGCACAAGCGGUGGAGCAUGUGGUUUAAUUCGAAGCUACGCGAAGAACCUUACCAGGUCUUGACAUCUUGCGCCAACCCUAGAGAUAGGGCGUUUCCUUCGGGAACGCAAUGACAGGUGGUGCAUGGUCGUCGUCAGCUCGUGUCGUGAGAUGUUGGGUUAAGUCCCGCAACGAGCGCAACCCUUGUUACUAGUUGCCAGCAUUAAGUUGGGCACUCUAGUGAGACUGCCGGUGACAAACCGGAGGAAGGUGGGGACGACGUCAGAUCAUCAUGCCCCUUAUGACCUGGGCUACACACGUGCUACAAUGGACGGUACAACGAGUCGCGAACUCGCGAGGGCAAGCAAAUCUCUUAAAACCGUUCUCAGUUCGGACUGCAGGCUGCAACUCGCCUGCACGAAGUCGGAAUCGCUAGUAAUCGCGGAUCAGCAUGCCGCGGUGAAUACGUUCCCGGGCCUUGUACACACCGCCCGUCACACCAUGAGAGUUUGUAACACCCAAAGUCGGUGGGGUAACCUUUUAGGAGCCAGCCGCCUAAGGUGGGACA